ensembl:lncRNA
GCACGCUACUCACUACAUGGCAGGUAAGCUCUUUUGUCAAUUGACUUUGGAUUUAGGCUGCUUUUGAUGAAGGGAUUCAUGUUGAUGGUGAGAAAAGAUUUGUUGGUAAGAAAUGAAUGAACGUAUGGUACAACAUGAUGCCAGUUCACUUGUCAUAAAUAUAUUUAUUGAGGAACUCUUUUUUUCAAAUCAAAGAUGAUAAAAUGAUAGAAAAUUAAGUCUAGAAACAUUUUCAGGAAUGAACACAUCUUGGUCUUACUGAAAAUUUGUUUUUGCAUUAUUUUAACCCUUUAACUGCCUACUUAACCAAACAUUAGAGUAAAUUUACAAAACAUGCUAUUGAAAACAUUGUGUUUAUUACUCCUCCAGAAAAUAAGCAACAGAAAAAACAUUUUGUUGAUUUCUUUUUCAGAACAAUGGUUAACUUGAUAUAUCAAACUGAAAAAGGAAUGGACUUUUUUGUAACCCUGCCUACCUGGAUAACCCUAGGUGGGAGGUCAACUAAGCUCACAAUGUGAACUUCUUUCUUUAUACUCAAGGUUUGUACAGUUCUAACAUGACAUGCCACAUUUGGGUCAUUUGGGCUGGGUAUCUUACCCAAAACUAUUGGAUCAAUCUUGGUGAUGGCCCUGUCAGUUGAAUAUUCUAUCAAGACUCUUCCCCGCACCCCGUUCUCCUCAUCCGAGAUCCUGACAACAUGAGAAAUAUUGCCAUUGACAGAAAAUACUUGCUCGACUUCCUCAUCAGUGUAAAUGUCUUCAAUGCCAGUGACUAAGAGGGUUUUCUGCCCAUCCACGCUAAAACGGUCACACAGAUCCAUUAUCCGUCUACUUCUUGAAACAGAGAAAAGAGUGAAUUGUGGGUAGGUAAAGCAACUAGCUAUUGCAUUCCCAUCCAGGUGAGACGUGAUGAGAUGAAUUCAAAGUCACACUUUCCUGAGCUCCAUUUGCCUCACACUUGGUUAUGCUAGCAUGACAUCAGUCUUGAAAUCAAAUGAUAAAAUCAAACCAGACAGAUGUCAGAUGCUAUUUUGUCAGUCUACCUUUUUAGUGGCCUUUUCAAAGAGCUGUUCUGUUUAUGGCUUUCUUCCCCUGACAUUUGGAUUUCCCCUUCUUGACUUCUACGUUGAAAUGAAAUCCUCAGCUUGAAACAGAUCCUGUGCGGCUGUACAGACAGGUAAGGCAUUUAAUGAAUCCUUCUUUGCUGAUUUGUCAUUUUAAUAAAUUUAACAGAAGUUAAAUAUUAUGUCACAAGGAAACAGACUAAAGAUUUUGUAGUGCUUAACCUCUGGACAACCCAAAAAUAUGGCAACCAAAGGAUAACAUGGAAUAUUUUAUUACAGUCAGUGCUGAAAAGGCAAGCAGAAUAUGUUAUAACAGGCAGACAGUAUCAAAGAGGUUUACAAAGAUAAGCUGUAGGCUGGGCAUGAAGGAGCAUCAUAUGCAAUCUUCAAGUCUGCUGUUGGGUCUUACUGAUCUUACAGUGUAAAUGAGCAGCAUCAUGAAAAAUACACAUCUGGCAAAUAAACUUUAAAUGUUUGAUCAGUAUUUGAAUCGUUUAGUUUGCAUGUGUUACUUGAAUUUUUUGUUACUUGAACAGAUCCUACGAAAUUAGGUUCUGUUACUUGAACAGCACCUACAAAAGUAGGUGCUGUUCAAGUAAAAGAUGCU